UACAGAGGUCUCAAGCGUUGUUCGGAUUCAUUGGGCGUAAAGGGUGCGUAGGCGGCGCGGUAAGUCGGGUGUGAAAUCUCGGAGCUUAACUCCGAAACUGCAUUUGAUACUGCCUUGCUUGAGGACUGGAGAGGAGACUGGAAUUCACGGUGUAGCAGUGAAAUGCGUAGAUAUCGUGAGGAAGACCAGUGGCGAAGGCGGGUCUCUGGACAGUUCCUGACACUGAGGCACGAAGGCCAGGGGAGCAAACGGG
rnacentral:rRNA from 1 species